GUGGCUGGGAAGAUGUUGGGAGAUGUAAACCCUCAAGGCUGCAGUGGAGCGUGUUCCGCUGUUGUCCUGGAGCUGCAUGGGCUCCUCAGUCUGUGGAUCUGGGCUGACUUGCAGUGCUGGCCCUCCUAGGUCUGCUAUGGGAACAUCGUUGUGUGCAGGCACAUUACUGACAGAAUGGAGCAUGACUGGACAAACGUCCUGUUGGGUUUGCUUCUCUCGGGACCCCUCACUGGAUCUAAAAAACUCCACUCAGCACUGGAAAACUGAUGCCGGAUGACUUUGAACUCCUGAUCUGCCACACCACCUCCAGUAGGAUCUGUGUGACAAGUUCCGCACACUGAGGCGACCGACCUCAAAAGGGGGAGGCCUCCUGGAACCGGCUGUGGAACUUUUCGCCAGAGAAAAAUUAUUGAGCCGUGGUUCUCAUGGCAAUCUCUCUGUUUUGUUUUCUCUUAUUCCUUUUCUUAUUUACAUGUUCCUCGAAGCCCAAGCUAAGAUCUUAAGUGAGAAUAAUGGGUAAGGAAGCAUCCCUAGAGAUGGGGUCACUAACAUGACCUCAUCCCUGGGGAAACCAACGCUUUACUUUCUAAAUCAUUUACAAAACUAUGAUGAUAGAUAAAAGUUUUUCCAACAAUAAAAUUUCAUAUGGCUACACGUGUGUCAUCGGAGGUUGGUUUUGGUAUAUGGUAAAGGAAGCCUUAAUUAGAAAGAAUUAAAAUAGUUUAAAUUUAUGUGUUGAAGAUUUAUUUAAAAAAAUCAGGCAUUAGAAGUAAAAUAAUAAUUGACCAUGGGGCUGGAGGGUUAGUUCCGCAGUUAAGAGCACUGACCAUAAAGAUUUAUUAACCUGCUCUUGGAAACAUGCCACUAGCCUUGGACGACAGCCCUCACUGAAUACAUCCUUUUGGAAUUGUUCUAUUUUGAUGAUUUACAAUGACGUUACCUGUUCUGUUUGCGAUUCACUGAACACAUAGCUUCAGAGUUGUAGUGCUUGGAUGAUUUUUGUGCUUUACUGUGCCAAAUGAUUUUUGUUGGUAUUUGUGAUUGUUUCAUUUGGAUUUAGUUUCUAAGAGAUGUAAUGUUUGGUUCUUUAAUAUACAAAUUUCCUGGCUUGAGAGCUGUAGAACACACUCAGAUUCAAACU
rnacentral:lncRNA from 1 species